ACAAGAAUAGGCGUAGAGAACUUGGUGUGAACCAUGGCAGCAAAACGCUUACACAGAUAAGACCUCACUACGAAAGGAGAUAACGUAUAUCCAGGUGUGUUGAGAGAAGUCAUCUAUAAAUAUAGUACUAGCGAUGACCUCCUUUCGAGGCGGAAGGAGGUGGACCCCAGACAUCAAAGUGAACAAGGUUGAAAGGGUUGUUGAGACAUCAAAGUAAACAAGGUUGAAAGGGUUGUUGAGACACUGUCUCGCUAUGAGCAUAAGGUAACUAUAGCUGUUUACCAAGCCGAGAACCCAGACAGUUUAGAGACAUCGUCGGAGACCGAUCCAAGAAGACCAUGUCAAACUAAGGAUGCGAGAUGAGAGCCACACAAGUGACCCCAGGCGACGAUGGCACUUCUAAGCAUAACUGGUAGACAAGGUAACAGAGGUGGAGAGACUAGCGGCUGUAGCAGCAGAGUCACGUGAUCCAGCAUCCUACGUGCAUGUGCGCUCUCCGUUACCCGCCGAUCCGGCUUGGUGUGCUUCUCGUGUUUGCGGGUUGUGUGCCACACUUGAUUAAGCACCCCACGUUCUCCUACAGUGCGCCCUUGACCCUGGCUUUAGGUAGCGCCGUGUCCUCGGCUUGCCGUGCAUAAUCCAGGUAUGCGCCAACUCUCCGAGCUCCUGCUCACCAUUGGUGUUGCUCGAGCGUGGGUUCUGGUGUCGCGCAUAAAGGGAACACGGGAUGUGUGAUUGUGACAGUUCACAUAGCAACCCGCGGCAAGGCAAAGGAUGCCCAUCCAACUGGCAGGGAGCGGAGGUGGACCCAAAAAGGUGGAUGUUGACUCCAUAGGAGUCUCAACAAUGUGCUUGUCAGUAAGAGGAGCAAGAAGAUCCUAGAUAUACUUCUCUUAGCAAAUAAAGAAGCCAUCAAAGGUAGACUCAGGGAAGUAGCGAUGAGGACCAAGGUCAGACAUAAGAAACUCACUGUGACGAGCCUUCACAAAGGCAAUGUACUUAAGAGUCGUGCAUGGUCAUGAGCACCCGUUGAAAAACGAGCCUUAUUAACCACAGAGACAACGCUCAAACCAGUCAUGAGGGGUUUGCUAAAGAUCAUAUAGAGAACGCCGAAGGCGAUAAACCAUGCCGACUGGAAAAGAAUACCCAAGUGGUGGCUACAUGUAGGCAUUGUUGACAUCAAGCUGAGAGAUAGAUAGAUAGAUAGAUAGAGAGAGAGAGCGAGCCUAUGUUGGCAAACAGAAGCACAUCGAAAAGUGUGCCAAAAGUGGUCAUCUGGGCCAUACAGGAGCAAAUGUCUCAUCGUAGUCAUGACUAUAUGUUCUCACCACUAGACGAGCUUUAUAAAGCUCUAGAGAAAUAUCAUAGUCUCACCCUUGUGGGCCUAGUUACAGUGAUGAGACGAGCAAGAGGAGGAAGGGAAAUGAGAUUCCACUAGCCGACGAGGUGAAGAGCAUUAUUGCGGUGGUCUUCUUGUGAAGAGCACCGCAAUAACUAACCAUAGCAGUCAAUAGGCAGAAGCGGACGAGCUCGAAAGCCAUAAGUAGGCUGAUCUGGAGCUAUGUGUUGCCAACAGAAGAAGACAUAGUAGUUGAGGGAGAUGACUCAUUAGAAGAAUCCACAACACGCGAACAAUGAGUGUAGUAAAGUCAAGGAAGAUGAGCAAAAGAAGGAACAUGCAAGACAAACUGCCAAGAGUGCCUCGACUAUCGACUGGCAGGGAAGUUACAUUGACAGUAAAAACAUGAACAUGAGAAUCUAGAUGUGGAAUACCCAAGUGGUGGCUGCACGUAAAACCCCUCACAAAAUUCACCAUUAAAAAAGACAUUCUUAACAUCAAGCCGAGACGAAGUGACGAAUAAAGGCCGCAACAAGAUGUGUGUGAACAAUUGUCGUAUGGCCCGCAUGAGCAAAAACUCUCAUCGUAAUUAGGACCAUGAUUCUACUGAAAGCCACGAGCCACAAGACGAGAUUUGUAAUGUUCAAGAGAACCAUCAGAGCGAGUCUUAACCUUGUAGACGCACCAAGUAAUGGGACGAACACGAGGAGGAAGGGACAUAAUAUCCGAUGUGCUGAUGUGCUCAACAGUAGCAAUAUCCUCUACCAUGGCAAGGCGCCAUUUGGUAUGAAUAACAUCAAGAUAAGAAGUCUGCUCAAGAAAGUAGCGCCAACGUUUCAUAGCCUAAGGCGGUCAACAGGCAAAAGUGUACGAGGUCGCAAGCCAUAAGAAGGCCGAGACGGAGAAAAUGUCACAUCAGUAGAUGCAUCCACAACACACGAACGACGUGUUUAAAAGUGAGGCAAAUGUGGAAGAAUACGAGCAAUAAUCCUCGAGAUAAGCUUAGGUUAUGGGGACAAGGAAGUCACCGGUGAUGAAGGUUUAGAAUCCCGUGAUAAGCGAAGCGAGGAAAUCAUAGGAGAUGAUGGUGCUGAAUCUGUAAUAAUUGGAGAAGCAGGAGCAGUACGAGGAAUGGAAUAGGGCUCAACGAUAGUGAUAGGAAUGUCGGGAAAAGUGAGAUAACACAUCCUCCACUAAAAAGGUCGGGGAUGAUGGCCACACGCAGCAGGGACGAGACUCACUAAAACUCAUACCGUGAGAAAUAGUCACCCGAUGACCAACCUGAUCCCAACAACAAUAUCUCUUAUGGUCAUUGUUGUAUCCUAUGAACACUCAACAUACUAAGUAGUAAGUUUGGUACAUUGACGAGAGGCAGUAAGGGCACAUCAAACACAACCAAACAAUUGAAGCGCUGAAUAAUCUGGAAACGAUCAAAUAGACUCUCGAAAGGAGAUGACCAUGGUGGAAGUGGAGACAAAUUCAACCCAAAAGUGUGGCGUAAGAGAGGCAGUGACCAUCCAAAAGUGUGGCGGAAGAGAGAGCAGUGACAUUGAACCUAUGAGCCGUCUCAAUAGUUGACGAUGCUUGCCCUCAGCCAUGCCAUUUUUGAGCAUGAGCACCAGGAUAAGAGAACUUAGCAAUGGCACCCUGCUCAACAAGGAUUGAGCGCAACAUCUUGGAGAUUUAUUCUCCACCGAGUCAUCACAGAAUACAAGAAUAGGCGUAGAGAGAUACUAUGUUGGCAAACAGAAGCCACAUCGAAAAGUGUGCCAAAAGUGGUCAUCCGGGGCCAUACAGGAGCAAAUGUCUCAUCGUAGUCAUGACUAUGUUCUCACCACUAGAUGAGCUUUGGAAAGCUCUAGAGAAACAUCAUAGCCUCACCCUUUGAUGUCAUCACAUGCUGCCAUUAUGGAUGAAAAAACGUCAUGAUAAGAAGUCGUCUUGCGAAGAGCACCACAAUAACUAACCAUAGCAGGUGAGCUCGAAAGCCAUAAGUAGGCUGAUCUGGAGCUAUGUGUUGCCAACAGAAGAAUACAUAGUAAUCGAGGGAGUUGACUCAUUAGAAGAAUCCACAACACGCGAACAGUGAGUGUAGUAAAGUCAAGGAAGACGAGCAAAAGAUGGAACAUGAAAAGAGAAACUGCCAAGAGUGCCUCGACUAUCGACAGGUAGGGAAGUUACCAGGAUAAGAGAACUGAGCAAGAGCACCGUGCUCAACAAGGAUUGAAUGCAACAUCUUGGAGAUUUAUUCUCCACCAGAGUCAUCACGGAAUACAAGAAUAGGCGUAGGGAACUUGUUCGUGUGCCUUGGCGUCAAAACGCUUACACAUAUAAGACCUCACUACGAAAGGAAAUAAAGUAUAUCCAGGUGUGUUGAGAGAAGUCAUCUAUAAAUAUAGUACUAGCGAUGACCUCCUUUCGAGGCGAAAGGAGGUGGGCCCCAGACAUUAGAGUGAACAAGGUUGAAAGGGUUGUUGAGACACUGUCUCGCUAUGAGCAUAAGGUAAGUAUAGCUGUUUACCAAGCCGACAACCCAGACAGUUUAGAGACAUCAUCCGAGACUGAUCCAAGAAGACCAUGUCAAACUAAGGAUGCGAGAUGAGAGCCACACAAGUGACCCCAGGCGACGAUGGCACUUCUAAGCAUAAAUGGUAGACAAGGUAACAGAGGUGGAGAGACUAGCGGCUGUAGCAGCAGAGUCACUUGAUCCAGCAUCCUACGUGCCUGUGCGCUCUCCGUUACCCGCCGAUCCGGCUUGGUGUGCUUCUCCUGUUUGCGGGUUGUGUGCCAGCACUUGAUUAAGCACCCCACGUUCUCCUACAGUGCGCCCUUGACCCUGGCUUUAGGUAGCGCCUUGUCCUCGGCUUGCCGUGCAUAAUCCAGGUAUGCGCCAACUGUCCGAGCUCCUGCUCACCAUUGGUGUUGCUCGAGCGUGGGUUCUGGUGUCGCCCAUAAAGGGAACACGGGAUGUGGGAUUGAGACAGUUCACAUAGCAACCCACAGCAAGGCAAAGGAUGCCCAUCCAACUGGCAGGGAGCGGAGGUGGACCCAAAAAGGUGGAUGUUGACUCGAAGGAGUCUCAACAGUACGCUUGUCAGUAAGAGGAGCAAGAAGAUCCUGGAUAUACUUCUCUUAGCAAAUAAAGAAGCCAUCAAAGGUAGACUCAGGGAAGUAGCGACGAGGACCAAGGUCAGACAUAAGAAACUCACUGUGACGAGCCUUCACAAAGGCAAUGUACUUAAGAGUCGUGCAGGAUCAUGAGCACCCGUUGAAAAACGAGCCUUAUUAACCACAGAGACAACACUCAAACCAGUCAUGAGGGGUUUGCUAAAGAGCAUAUAGAGAACGCCGAAGGCGACAAACCAUGCCGGCUGGAAAAGAAUACCCAAGUGGUGGUUACAUGUAGGAUUGUUGACAUCAAGCAGAGAGAGAGAGAGAGAGAGAUAGAUAGAGAGAGAGCCUAUGUUGGCAAACAGAAGCACAUCGAAAAGUGUGCCAACAGUGGUCAUCUGGGCCAUACAGGAGCAAAUGUCUCAUCGUAGUCAUGACUGUAUGUUCUCACCAGUAGACGAGCUUUGUAAAGCUCUAGAGAAACAUCAUAGUCUCACCCUUGUGGGUCUAGUUACAAGUAAUGAGACGAGCAAGAGGAGGAAGGGAAAUGAGAUUCCACUAGCCGACAAGGUGAAGAGCAUUUGAUGCCAUCACAUGCUGCCAUUGUGGAUGAAAAAAAUGUCAUGAUAAGAAGUCUUCUUGUGAAGACCACCGCAAUAACUAACCAUAGCAGUCAAUAGGCAGAAGCGGGCGAGCUCGAAAGCCAUAAGUAGGCUGAUCUGGAGCUAUGUGUUGCCAACAGAAGAAGACAUAGUAGUUGUGGGAGAUGACUCAUUAUAAGAAUCAACAACACGCGAACAAUGAGUGUAGUAAAGUCAAGGAAGAUGAGCAAAAGAAGGAACAUGCAAGACAAACUGCCAAGAGUGCCUCGACUAUCGACUGGCAGGGAAGUUACAUUGACAGUAAAAACAUGAACAUGAGAAUCUAGAUGUGGAAUACCCAAGUGGUGGCUGCACGUAAAACCCCUGACAAAAUUCACCAUUAAAAAAGUCUUUGUUAACAUCAAGCCGAGACGGAGUGACGAAUAAAGGCCGCAACAAGAUGUGUGUGAACAAUUGUCGUAUGGCCCGCAUAAGCUGAAACUCUCAUCGUAAUUAGGACCAUGAUUCUACUGAAAGCCACGAGCCACAAGACGAGCUUUGUAAUGUUCAAGAGAACCAUCAGAACUAGUCUUAACCUUGUAGACGCAUCAAGUAAUGGGACGAACACGAGGAGGAAGGGACACAAUAUCCGAUGUGCUGAUGUGCUCAACAGUAGCAAUAUCCUCUACCAUGGCAAGGCGCUAUUUGGUAUGAAUAACAUCAAGAUAAGAAGUCUGCUCAAGAAAGUGGCGCCAACGUUUCAUAGCCUAAGGCGGUCCACAGGCAAAAGUGGACGAGGUCGCAAGCCAUAAGAAGACCGAGACGGAGAAGAUGGCACAUCAGUAGAUGCAUCCACAACACAUGAACGACGUGUAUAAAAGUGAGGCAAAUGUGGAAGAAUACGAGCAAUAAUCCCCGAGAUAAGCUCAGGUUAGCGAGACAAGGAAGUCACCGAUGAUGAAGGUUUAGAAUCCCGUGAUAAGCGAAGUGAGGAAAUCACAGGAGAUGAUGGUGCUGAAUCUGUAAUAAUUGGAGAAGCAGGAGCAGUACGAGGAAUGGAAUAGGGCUCAACUAUAGUGAUAAGAAUGUCGGGAAAAGUGAGGUAACACAUCCUCCACUAAAAAGGUCGGGGAUGAUGGUCAUACGUAGCAGGGACGAGACUCACUAAAAGUCAUACCGUGAGAAAUAGUCACCCGAUGACCAACCUGAUCCCAACAACAAUAUCUCUUAUGCUCAUUGUUGUAUCCUAGGAACACUCAACAUACUAAGUAGUAAGUUUGGUACAUUGACGAGAGGCAGUAAGGGCACAUCAAACACAACCAAACAAUUGAAGCGCUGAAUAAUCUGGAAACGAUCAAAUAGACUCGGAAGGAGAUGACCAUGGUGGAAGUGGAGACGCAUUCAACCCAAAAGUGUGGCGUAAGAGAGGCAGUGACCAUCCAAAAGUGUGGCGGAAGAGAGAGCAGUGACAUUGAACCUAUGAGCCGUCUCAAUAGUUGACGAUGCUUGCCCUCAGCUAUGCCAUUUCUGAGCAUGAGCACCAGGAUAAGAGAACUGAGCAAGAGCACCCUGCUCAACAAGGAUUGAGCGCAACAUCUUGGAGAUUUAUUCUCCACCGAGUCAUCACAGUAUACAAGAAUAGGCGUAGAGAGAUACUAUGUUGGCAAACGGAAGCCACAUCGAAAAGUGUGGCAAAAGUGGUCAGCUGGGCCAUACAGGAGCAAAUGUCUCAUCGUAGUCAUGACUAUAUGUUCUCACCACUAGAUGAGCUUUGUAAAGCUCUAGAGAAACAUCAUAGCCUCACCCUUUGAUGUCAUCACAUGCUGCCAUUAUGGAUGAGAAAACGUCAUGAUAAGAAGUCGUCUUGCGAAGAGCACCACAAUAACUAACCAUAGCAGUCAAAAGGCAGUAGCAGGCGAGCUCGAAAGCCAUAGUUAGGCUGAUCUGGAGCUAUGUGUUGCCAACAGAAGAAUACAUAGUAAUCGAGGGAGUUGACUCAUUAGAAGAAUCCACAACACGCGAACAGUGAGUGUAGUAAAGUCAAGGAAGACGAGCAAAAGAAGGAACAUGAAAAGAGAAACUGCCAAGAGUGCCUCGACUAUCGACAGGUAGGGAAGUUACCAGGAUAGGAGAACUGAGCAAGAGCACCGUGCUCAACAAGGAUUGAAUGCAACAUCUUGGAGAUUUAUUCUCCACCGGAGUCAUCACGGAAUACAAGAAUAGGCGUAGGGAACUUGGUGUGUGCCAUGGCAUCAAAACGCUUACACAUAUAAGACCUCACUACGAAAGGAAAUAAAGUAUAUCCAGGUGUGUUGAGAGAAGUCAUCUAUAAAUAUAGUACUAGCGAUAACCUCCUUUCGAGGCGAAAGGAGGUGGGUCCCAGACAUCAAAGUGAACAAAGGUUGAAAGGGUUGUUGAGACACUGUCUCGCUAUGAGCAUAAGGUAAGUAUAGCUGUUUAACAAGCCGACAACCCGGACAGUUUGGAGACAUCAUCGGAGACUGAUCCAAGAAGACCAUGUCAAACUAAGGAUGCGAGAUGAGAGCCACACAAGUGACCCCAGGCGACGAUGGCACUUCUAAGCAUAACUGCUAGACAAGGUAACAGAGGUGGAGAGACUAGCGGCUGUAGCAGCAGAGUCACUUGAUCCAGCAUCCUACGUGCCUGUGCGCUCUCCGUUACCCGCCGAUCCGGCUUGGUGUGCUUCUCCUGUUUGCGGGUUGUGUGCCACGCACUUGAUUAAGCACCCCACGUUCUCCUACAGUGCGCCCUUGACCCUGGCUUUAGGUAGCGCCGUGUCCUCGGCUUGCCGUGCAUAAUCCAGGUAUGCGCCAACUGUCCGAGCUCCUGCUCACCAUCGGUGUUGCUCGAGCGUGGGUUCUGGUGUCGCCCAUAAAGGGAACACGGGAUGUGGGAUUGAGACAGUUCACAUAGCAACCCACAGCAAGGCAAAGGAUGCCCAUCCAACUGGCAGGGAGCGGAGGUGGACCCAAAAAGGUGGAUGUUGACUCCAAGGAGUCUCAACAGUACGCUUGUCAGUAAGAGGAGCAAGAAGAUCCUGGAUAUACUUCUCUUAGCAAAUAAAGAAGCCAUCAAAGGUAGACUCAGGGAAGUAGCGAUGAGGACCAAGGUCAGACAUAAGAAACUCACUGUGACGAGCAUUCACAAAGGCAAUGUACUUAAGAGUCGUGCAGGAUCAUGAGCACGCGUUGAAAAACGAGCCUUAUUAACCACAGAGACAACGCUCAAACCAGUCAUGAGGGGUUUGCUAAAGAGCAUAUAGAGAACGCCAAAGGCGACAAACCAUGCCGGCUGGAAAAGAAUACCCAAGUGGUGGCUACAUGUAGGAUUGUUGACAUCAAGCUGAGAGAGAGAGAGAGAGAUAGAUAGAUAGAGAGAGAGAGAGCCUAUGUUGGCAAACAGAAGCACAUCGAAAAGUGUUCCAAAAGUGGUCAUCUGGGCCAUACAGGAGCAAAUGUCUCAUCGUAGUCAUGACUAUGUUCUCACCACUAGACGUGGUUUGUAGAGCUCUAGAGUAACAUCAUAGUCUCACCCUUGUGGGCCUAGUUACAAGUAAUGAGACGAGCAAGAGGAGGAAGGGAAAUGAGAUUCCACCAGCCGGCGAGGUGAAGAGCAUUUGAUGCCAUCACAUGCUGCCAUUGUGGAUGAAAAAAAUGUCAUGAUAAGAAGUCUUCUUGUGAAGAGCACCGCAAUAACUAACCAUAGCAGUCAAUAGGCAGAAGCCGGCGAGCUCGAAAGCCAUAAGUAGGCUGAUCUGGAGCUAUGUGUUGCCAACAGAAGAAGACAUAGUAGUUGAGGGAGAUGACUCAUUAUAAGAAUCCACAACACGCGAACAAUGAGUGUAGUAAAGUCAAGGAAGAUGAGCCUAAGAAGGAACAUGCAAGACAAACUGCCAAGAGUACCUCGACUAUCGACUGGCAGGGAAGUUACAUUGACAGUAAAAACAUGAACAUGAGAAUCUAGAUGUGGAAUACGCAAGUGGUGGCUGCACGUAAAACCCCUGACAAAAUUCACCAUUAAAAAAGUCUUUGUUAACAUCAAGCCGAGACGGAGUGACGAAUAAAGGCCGCAACAAGAUGUGUGUGAACAAUUGUCGUAUGGCCCGCAUGAGCUGAAACUCUCAUCGUAAUUAGGACCAUGAUUCUACUAAAAGCCACGAGCCACAAGACGAGCUUUGUAAUGUUCAAGAGAACCAUCAGAGCGAGUCUUAACCUUGUUGACGCACCAAGUAAUGGGACGAACACGAGGAGGAAGGGACACAAUAUCCGAUGUGCUGAUGUGCUCAACAGUAGCAAUAUCCUCUACCAUGGCAAGGCGCCAUUUGGUAUGAAUAACAUCAAGAUAAGAAGUCUGCUCAAGAAAGUGGCGCCAACGUUUCAUAGCCUAAGGCGGUCCACAGGCAAAAGUGGACGAGGUCGCAAGCAAUAAGAAGGCCGAGACGGAGAAGAUGGCACAUCAGUAGAUGCAUCCACAACACAUGAACGACGUGUUUAAAAGUGAGGCAAAUGUGGAAGAAUACGAGCAAUAAUCCCCGAGAUAAGCUCAGGUUAUGGAGACAAGGAAGUCACCGGUGAUGAAGGUUUAGAAUCCCGUGAUAAGCGAAGUGAGGAAAUCAUAGGAGAUGAUGGUGCUGAAUCUGUAAUAAUUGGAGAAGCAGGAGCAGUACGAGGAAUGGAAUAGGGCUCAACGAUAGUGAUAAGAAUGUCGGGAAAAGUGAGGUAACACAUCCUCCACUAAAAAGGUCGGGGAUGAUGGUCACACGUAGCAGGGACGAGACUCACUAAAAGUCAUACCGUGAGAAAUAGUCACCCGAUGACCAACCUGAUCCCAACAACAAUAUCUCUUAUGCUCAUUGUUGUAUCCUAUGAACACUCAACAUACUAAGUAGUAAGUUUGGUACAUUGACGAGAGGCAGUAAGGGCACAUCAAACACAACCAAACAAUUGAAGCGCUGAAUAAUCUGGAAACGAUCAAAUAGACUCUUGAAAGGAGAUGACCAUGGUGGAAGUGGAGACGCAUUCAACCCAAAGGUGUGGCCUAAGAGAAGCAGUGACCAUCCAAAAGUGUGGCGGAAGAGAGAGCAGUGAAAUUGAACCUAUGAGCCGUCUCAAUAGUUGACGAUGCUUGCCCUCAGCCAUGCCAUUUCUGAGCAUGAGCACCAAGAUAAGAGAACUGAGCAAGAGCACCCUGCUCAACAAGGAUUGAGCGCAACAUCUUGGAGAUAUAUUCUCCAUCAAAGUCAUCACAGAAUACAAGAAUAGGCGGUGAGAGAUACUAUGUUGGCAAACAGAAGCCACAUCGAAAAGUGUGCCAAAAGUGGUCAUCUGGGCCAUACAGGAGCAAAUGUCUCAUCAUAGUCAUGGCUAUAUGUUCUCACCACUAGAUGAGCUUUGUAAAGCUCUAGAGAAACUUCAUAGUCUCACCCUUUCAUGUCAUCACAUGCUGCCAUUAUGGAUGAAAAAACGUCAUGAUAAGAAGUCGUCUUGCGAAGAGCACCACAAUAACUAACCAUAGCAGUCAAAAGGCAGUAGUAGGCGAGCUCGAAAGCCAUAAGUAGGCUGAUCUGGAGCUAUGUGUUGCCAACAGAAGAAUACAUAAUAAUCGAGGGAGUUGACUCAUUAGAAGAAUCCACAACACGGGAACUGUGAGUGUAGUAAAGUCAAGGAAGACGAGCAAAAGAAGGAACAUGAAAAGAGAAACUGCCAAGAGUGCAUCGACUAUCGACAGGUAGGGAAGUUACCAGGAUAAGAGAACUGAGCAAGAGCACCGUGCUCAACAAGGAUUCAAUGCAACAUCUUGGAGAUUUAUUCUCCACCAGAGUCAUCAUGGAAUACAAGAAUAGUCUUAGGGACCUUCCCCUGUGUGCCUUGGCAUCAAAACGCUUACACAUACAAGACCUCAGUACGAAAGGAAAUAAAGUAUAUCCAGGUGUGUUGAGAGAAGUCAUCUAUAAAUAUAGUACUAGCGAUGACCUCCUUUCGAGGCGAAAGGAGGUGGGCCCCAGACAUCAAAGUGAACAAGGUUGAAAGGGUUGUUGAGAUACUGUCUCGCUAUGAGCAUAAGGUAAGUAUAGCUGUUUACCAAGCCGACAACCCAGAUAGUUUAGAGACAUCAUCGGAGACUAAUCCAAGAAGACCAUGUCAAACUAAGGAUGCGAGAUGAGAGCCACACAAGUGACCCCAGGCGACGAUGGCACUUCUAAGCAUAACUGGUAAACAAGGUAACAGAGGUGGAGAGACUAGCGGCUGUAGCAGCAGAGUCACUUGAUCCAGCAUCCUACGUGCCUGUGCGCUCUCCGUUACCCGCCGAUCCGGCUUGGUGUGCUUCUCCUGUUUGCGGGUUGUGUGCCACACACUUGAUUAAGCACCCCACGUUCUCCUACAGUGCGCCCUUGACCCUGGCUUUAGGUAGCGCCGUGUCCUCAGCUUGCCGUGCAUAAUCCAGGUAUGCGCCAACUGUCCGAGCUCCUGCUCACCAUUGGUGUUGCUCGAGCGUGGGUUCUGGUGUUGCCCAUAAAGGGAACACGGGAUGUGGGAUUGAGACAGUUCACAUAGCAACCCACAGCAAGGCAAAGGAUGCCCAUCCAACUGGCAGGGAGCGGAGGUGGACCCAAAAAGGUGGAUGUUGACUCCAAGGAGUCUCAACAGUACGCUUGUCAGUAAGAGGAGCAAGAAGAUCCUGGAUAUACUUCUCUUAGCAAAUAAAGAAGCCAUCAAAGGUAGAUUCAGGGAAGUAGCGAUGAGGACCAAGGUCAGACAUAAGAAACUCACUGUGACGAGGCUUCACAAAGGCAAUGGACUUAAGAGUCGUGCAGGAUCAUGAGCACCCGUUGAAAAACGAGCGUUAUUAACCACAGAGACAACGCUCAAACCAGUCAUGAGGGGUUUGCUAAAGAGCAUAUAGAGAACGCCGAAGGUGACAAACGAUGCCGGCUGGAAAAGAAUACCCAAGUGGUGGCUACAUGUAGGCAUUGUUGACAUCAAUCUGAGAGAUAGAUAGAUAGAUAGAUAGAUAGAUAGAGGGAGAGCCUAUGUUGGCAAACAGAAGCACAUCGAAAAGUGUGCCAAUAGUGGUCAUUUGGGCCAUACAAGAGCAAAUGUCUCAUCGUAGUCAUGACUAUGUUCUCGCCACUAGACGAGCUUUGUAAAGCUCUAGAGUAACAUCAUAGUCUCACCCUUGUGGGCCUAGUUACAAGUAAUGAGACGAGCAAGAGGAGGAAGGGAAAUGAGAUUCCACUGGCCGACGAGGUGAAGAGCAUUUGAUGCCAUCACAUGCUGCCAUUGUGGAUGAAAAAAAUGUCAUGAUAAGAAGUCUUCUUGUGAAGAGCACCGCAAUAACUAACCAUAGCAGUCAAUAGGCAGAAGCGGGCGAGCUCGAAAGCCAUAAGUAGGCAGAUCUGGAGCUAUGUGUUGCCAACAGAAGAAGACAUAGUAGUUGAGGGAGAUGACUCAUUAUAAGAAUCCACAACACGCGAACAAUGAGUGUAGUAAAGUCAAGGAAGAUGAGCAAAAGAAGGAACAUGCAAGACAAACUGCCAAGAGUGCCUCGACUAUCGACUGGCAGGGAAGUUACAUUGACAGUAAAAACAUGAACAUGAGAAUCUAGAUGUGGAAUACCCAGUGGUGGCUGCACGUAAAACCCCUCAUAAAAUUCACCAUUAAAAAAGACAUUCUUAACAUCAAGCCGAGACGGAGUGACGAAUAAAGGCCGCAGCAAGAUGUGUGUGAACAAUUGUCGUAUGGCCCGCAUGAGCAAAAACUCUCAUCGUAGUUAGGACCAUGAUUCUACUGAAAGCCACGAGCCACAAGACGAGCUUUGUAUUGUUCAAGAAAACCAUCAGAGCGAGUCUUAAACUUGUAGACGCACCAAGUAAUGGGACGAACACGAGGAGGAAGGGACACCAUAUCUGAUGUGCUGAUGUGUUCAACAGUAGCAAUAUCCUCUACCAUGGCAAGGCGCCAUUUGGUAUGAAUAACAUCAAGAUAAGAAGUCUGCUCAAGAAAGUAGCGUCAACGUUUCAUAGCCUAAGGCGGUCAACAUGCAAAAGUGGACGAGGUGGCAAGCCAUAAGAAGGCCGAGACGGGGAAGAUGGCACAUCAGUAGAUGCAUCCACAACACAUGAACGACGUGUAUAAAAGUGAGGCAAAUGUGGAAGAAUACGAGCAAUAAUCCUCGAGAUAAACUCAGGUUAUGGAGACAAGGAAGUCACCGGUGAUGAAGGUUUAGAAUCCCGUGAUUAGCGAAGUGAGGAAAUCAUAGGAGAUGAUGGUGAUGAAUUUGGAAUAAUUGGUGAAGGAAUGGAUUAGCACUCAACAAUAGUGAUAGGUGAGGUAACUGAUAUCCUCCAUUGAAAAGGUUGGGGAAGAUGGUCACGGGUAGAAGGGAGCGGACUCAUCAAAAGUCAUACCGUGAGAAAUAGUCACCCGAUGACCAACAUGAUCCUAACAACAAUAUCACUUAGUAUCCUAACAACACUCAACAGACUAAGUAGUAAGUUAGUAGUAAGUUUACAUUCACGAGAGGUAGUAAGGACACAUCAAACACAACCAAACAAUUGAAGCGCUGAAUAAUUUGGAAACGAUCAAAGACUCUCGAAAGGAGAUGACCAUGGUGGAAAUGUAGACGUAUUCAACCCAAAAGUGUGGCGUAAGAGAGGAAGUGACCAUCCAAAAGUGUGGCGGAAGAGAGAGCAGUGACAUUGAACCUACGAGCCGUCUCAAUAGUUGACGAUGCUUGCCCUCAGCCAUGCCAUUUCCGAGCAUGAGAGAACUGAGCAAGACCACCCUGCUCAACAAGGAUUGAACGCAACAUCUUGGAGAUUUAUUCUCCACCAGAGUCAUCACAGAAUACAAGAAUAGGUGUAGAGAACUUGGUGUGAACCAUGGCAGCAAAAUGCUUACACAGAUAAUACCUCACUACGAAAGGAAAUAAAGUAUAUCCAG
rnacentral:lncRNA from 1 species